AAUUAAAAAACCCUGUCAAAACUAGUAUAGACAAGGGGAAUCUGAUUGUUUAAUUAAAACAAAGCAUUGUGAUGGUCCAUGUGGAUGCUGAUGUAAUGUGAUUUAUACCCAGUGCUCUGCAUGUGAAAGUGAAGAAAUUAAACCAAGCGCGGGUAAACAACAGGAGUAACUAUGACUCUCUUAAGGUAUUCAGAUGCCUCAUCAUCUAAUUAGUGACAUGCGUGAAUGGAUUAACAAGAUUCCUAAUAUCCCUAGAUACUAUCUA
rnacentral:ncRNA from 1 species